GGAAGAUCUGCUGUUCUUCUGGAGUUGUGUGAAAUUUUAUUUGCUGUUUCAAAGCAGCUUGUUCAGAUCUUGAUGCAUUCAUGGCAAGGCCAAGAGCACCCUGAGAAAUGAGGAAAAAGAAGCACCAGUUGAGGACUCAGAGCCUCCACGCAGAGGCUCCAGGAUGGGCAUUUUAUGGGCUUUCGGCAGAGGAGUAGCCAUGUCUGGC
rnacentral:lncRNA from 1 species